rnacentral:rRNA from 1 species
UACGGAGGUGGCAAGCGUUACUCGGAAUCAUUGGGUGUAAAGGGCAAGUAGGCGGUUUAAUAAGUGAGGGGUGAAAUCCUGCGACUCAAUCGCAGAAUUGCCUUUCAAACUGUUAGACUUGAGGCAGGGAGAGGGAAAUGGAAUUCUCGGUGUAAGGGUGAAAUCUGUAGAUAUCGAGAAGAACACCAGCGGCGAAGGCGAUUUCCUGGUCCUGUCCUGACGCUGAAUUGCGAAAGCUAGGGGAGCAAACAGAAUUAGAUACUCUGGUAGUCCUAGCCGUAAACGAUGAGCACUAGGUGCUGGGCCGUCAAGGCUCGGUGCCGCCGCUAACGCAUUAAGUGCUCCACCUGGGGACUACGGCCGCAAGGUUAAAACUCAAAGGAAUUGACGGGGGCCCGCACAAGCGGUGGAACAUGUGGUUUAAUUCGAUGAUACGCGAAGAACCUCACCAUGGCUUGACAUACAGGAAGUAGUGAACCGAAAGGGGAACGAGCCGUCAAGUCCGGCAACCUGUACAGGUGCUGCAUGGCUGUCGUCAGCUCGUGUCGUGAGAUGUUGGGUUAAGUCCCGCAACGAGCGCAACCAUUACUCUAUGUUGCUAAUGCAUUUGUGCCGCAAGGCGUGGGUGCAAGCACUCUUAGAGGACUGCCUGGGAUAACCAGGAGGAAGGUGGAGAUGACGUCAAGUCAGUACGGCCCUUAUGCCAUGGGCUACACACGUGUUACAAUGGUUGAGACAAAGGGUUGCCAACCCGCGAGGGGGAGCUAAUCUCUUAAACUCAGCCCCAGUUCAGAUUGAAGUCUGCAAUCCGACUUCAUGAAGCCGGAAUCGCUAGUAAUGGAAGAUCAGCACGCUUCCGUGAAUACGUUCCCGGGCCU